UUAUUCGACAGUAGUGCCAAAUGAGAUGGCGCGUCGUCGACAAAAUCGACAAAACAAAUGGAAAUCAGAACGACGCGUGUAGGUGCGGUCCACCGCAUUAACGCCUUGUUUUUCAAUCGAAUUGUAUUGUACAAUAACGUACACGCAUCCCCCGGUUAGGCGCGCGAUUGUCGAAAAUAGUUUGUAGGUAAAUUUAAAAAUGUUAAAUACCUGUGUAUACACCG